rnacentral:rRNA from 1 species
CCUACGGGAGGCAGCAGUGAGGAAUAUUGGACAAUGGGCGCAAGCCUGAUCCAGCCAUGCCGCGUGCAGGAAGAAGCAUCUAUGGUGUGUAAACUGCUUUUGUACAGGAAGAAACACUCCCUCGUGAGGGAGCUUGACGGUACUGUAAGAAUAAGGACCGGCUAACUCCGUGCCAGCAGCCGCGGUAAUACGGAGGGUCCGAGCGUUAUCCGGAAUCAUUGGGUUUAAAGGGUCCGUAGGCGGCUUAAUAAGUCAGUGGUGAAAUCUGGUCGCUCAACGAUCAAACGGCCAUUGAUACUGUUAGACUUGAAUUAUAAGGAAGUAACUAGAAUAUGUAGUGUAGCGGUGAAAUGCUUAGAUAUUACAUGGAAUACCAAUUGCGAAGGCAGGUUACUACUUAUGGAUUGACGCUGAUGGACGAAAGCGUGGGGAGCGAGCAGGAUUAGAUACCCUGGUAGUCCACGCCGUAAACGAUGGAUACUAGCUGUUCGGAGCAAUAUGAGUGCGUAGACGAAGUAGAGUAGUAUACCACCGUCGGAGGUACGUACGCGAGAAGUAGAACGUACGAAGUAGUAGUUAGUAGGACGUAGAGACGNGCGAGGACGACGACGAGGGAGGAGG